AUUUGAAGGACAUGCGAAUGAUCUGUGUGUGGAAGAAGUACUGGAAGACAUUCCUUUCAGAAGUCCCUCAUGAUAGGGAAUCCCAAGGCUGGAAAACAUCAUUCAAGUGGGCAAUCAAAUUACAUUUGUUAUUAAAAGCCACCCUGAGUGAAUCCCAGCACUGCCCUACAUAAAAUAUAUCCUUCAUUAUAUUUCCUAUUUGAUGUCUGACUCCCCCUCCUCCUUCGCUAAAAGAUGGAAAUGUGUCAGGUACCAGCUAUUCGUCCAAUGACUGCUCCUGAGUUCCAAAUUCACCCUUCACUGCCUGCUCUGCAAACGUAGAGGCUGGAGCACGGCGGUGUGAUCUCGGCUCACUGCAGUCUCAACCUCCCGGGCUUAAGCUGUCCUCCUGCCUCAGCCUCUGGGGUAGCUGAGGUAUGACCACAGCCUCAGCCAAGAUGUCUCACCCCAUUCUCUAUGAUGCGACAAGAAGCCCCUUGGGAGCAUUUCAGUCCCACUCGGUACUUCUGUCAUUGUGCCCCCCACAGUCUGAUGGAAAUGUGUCAGGUACCAGCUAUUCGUCCAAUGACUGCUCCUCAGUUCCAAAUUCACCCUUCACUGCCUGCUCUGCAAACAUAGAGGGUUGAUAUUAUGAAAAAUCAAACACAAACUUAAAUGUGUGAAUUGCUGAAUUACAAUGACAGUUGAAUUCACUGCAUCACCAAGGUUCUCAUGAGAACAUUGGGGCACUAAUAGGUGAAGAAUGGGAUUCUUUUUCUCUUUGAGACAGUCUCCCUCUGUUGCCCAGGCUGGAGCACAGCGGUGUGAUCUCGGCUAACUGCAGUCUCAACCUCCCGGGCUUAAGCUGUCCUCCUGCCUCAUCCUCUGGGGUAGCUGAGGUAUGACCACAGGUAUGAGCCACCACACCCAACUAAUAUUUUGUGUUUUGUAGAGAUGUGGUUUCACCACAUUGCUCAGGCUGGUCUUAAACUCCUGGGCUCAAGACAUCCACCCACCUUAGACUUCUAAAGUUUUGAGAUUAUAGGCAGCAGCCGCCAUGCCUGGCGCGGUUUU